UACGUAGGGUGCAAGCGUUAAUCGGAAUUACUGGGCGUAAAGCGUGCGCAGGCGGUUAUGUAAGACAGAUGUGAAAUCCCCGGGCUCAACCUGGGAACUGCGUUUGUGACUGUAUGACUAGAGUACGGUAGAGAGGGUGGAAUUCCUGGUGUAGCAGUGAAAUGCGUAGAUAUCAGGAAGAACACCCGUGGCGAAGGCGGCUCUCUGGGACGGUACUGACGCUGAGACGCGAAAGCGUGGGGAGCGAACAGG
rnacentral:rRNA from 1 species